AAAAAGAUUCUGCAGUAAUGGAGCCAAAAGCCCGACUUUGCCAGCCAUACCACCAUUUGCACCAUCAGCAGCUGCUGUGACAGUCCCUGAACCAAGACAAGAUGAAAGAGAACUCCGGCUCUACCAGAUGCUGGAAGAGAUAAAGGGUCAGGUCAGGCAGAAUACGCUCCUCCUUCAGGCGAUUUUGCGAAGAGAGAAUGCUGCUGAAGUUGUGAAUGAGGAGUUUCAGUUUCCAUUAAGGAGCAUGACCGGCAUAAAAGAUUUGGAGGAUAGGCUGUCAAACAGAGACACACAACGUUCUCUAACAAGAUAUCUUACCAGCUUGGGUGGAACAUCUGCUAAAGACAUUGUCCACAGAAUG